rnacentral:rRNA from 1 species
UACGUAUGGUGCAAGCGUUAUCCGGAUUUACUGGGCGUAAAGGGAGCGCAGGCGGCGCGCCAAGUCUGAUGUGAAACCCCGGGGCUCAACCCCGGGCAUGCAUUGGAAACUGGCGGGCUGGAGUGCCGGAGAGGUAAGCGGAAUUCCUAGUGUAGCGGUGAAAUGCGUAGAUAUUAGGAGGAACACCAGUGGCGAAGGCGGCUUACUGGACGGCAACUGACACUGAGGCUCGAAAGCGUGGGGAGCAAACAGG